UCCGCGGUAGCUCAAUGGCAGAGCAACUGACUGUUAAUCAGUAGGUUGUCGGUUCGAGCCCGACCCGCGGAGCCA
rnacentral:tRNA from 2 species